rnacentral:sRNA from 1 species
GUAGGACAGGAGUUACCUUUUUUGAGUUCUCAGCCAUGGGCCUACCCAGUACCCACCACAGUUCAGGAAGGACGGCAGCCCAACAACCAGCAGGCGGCCCUCAGGCACCGGGACUGGGCCAGAAGAUGGCAGACCAAGCCUGGGAUCUCCAUAUGGACAACCCCCUCGCUUUCCAGUCCCUCACAAUGGCAGCAGCGAGGCCACCCUGCCAGCCCAGAUGAGCACCCUGCAUGUGUCUCCACCCCCCAGCGCUGACCCAGCCAGAGGCCUCCCGCGGAGCCGGGACUGCAGAGUCGACCUGGGCUCCGAGGUGUACAGGAUGCUGCGGGAGCCGGCCGAGCCCGUGGCCGCGGAGCCCAAGCAGUCAGGCUCCUUCCGCUACUUGCAGGGCAUGCUAGAGGCCGGCGAGGGCGGGGAUUGGCCCGGGCCUGGCGGCCCUCGGAACCUCAAGCCCAC